rnacentral:rRNA from 1 species
AUUGAACGCUGGCGGCAGGCCUAACACAUGCAAGUCGAACGAGUGGCGGACGGGUGAGUAAUGUCUGGGAAACUGCCUGAUGGAGGGGGAUAACUACUGGAAACGGUAGCUAAUACCGCAUACCAUCAGAUGUGCCCAUAUGGGAUUAGCUUGUUGGUGGGGUAACGGCUCACCAAGGCGACGAUCCCUAGCUGGUCUGAGAGGAUGACCAGCCACACUGGAACGGAGACACGGCCCAGACGCCUACGGGAGGCAGCAGUGGGGAAUAUUGGCCAAUGGGGGAAAGCCUGAGGCAGCAAUGCGGCGUGUGUGAAGAAGGCCUUCGGGUUGGAAAGUACUUUCAGUGGGGAGGCGUUACCCGAAGAAGAAGCAACGGCUAACUACGUGCCAGCAGCCGCGGUAAUAC